GUGUGGACGGAUGGAAGCAGAGAAGGCAGAUGCAGAGCAGACUCGCUCCUCCAUCCAAAGGAAUAAGGACGUCGAUCUCCUCUAGGAUAUUUCCAUCUGCUUAAAAAAACACACACCAAAAAAACCAACAACUAAUAAUUUACAUAUUUUUCGUUUAUUUAUCUACCUCUAUAUACUAUGGUCUCCAUCGCGCUUGCGGGCACCACCCCUUCAAGCGUACAAGUCUAUCUCUGAGAUGUCAGUCAUUUCACGCCGGGAUUUCUACAUGUGAGUGCAUGGCGCGCCGGGCAGGGCGGAUCUGCUCACGGGGGGAAAAAACGCCGGCUAAUAUGGAUGAAAGGUCAACCAUCAUCUCAUCGUUUCAACCACUUUGACAAGCGACCGUAUCCCAUAGCUUCGGCCACACCACAGAGCAGGAGAGAUGAUGUGCGAGGUGAUGCCGACUAUCAGCGAAGGGGACUCGGCCGGUCCUCCGAGAGGCAACGCCGGCGUCCCGAACGGCUCGGACCAGGAGGCCAACUUCGAGCAGCUGAUGGUCAACAUGCUGGACGAGAGAGACAAGCUGCUGGAGUCCCUCAGGGAGACUCAGGAGACCCUCAUCCAGUCUCAGACGAAGCUGCAGGGGGCGCUGCACGAGAGGGAUGCGCUCCAGCGGCAGAUCAACGCCGCGCUGCCUCAGAAUGGGACCCACUUCAGCACCCACAUGUAUCAGGAGUUUGCCACCCUGACAAAGGAGCUCAACAUAUGCCGGGAGCAGCUGCUGGAGAAAGAGGAGGAAAUAUCCGAGCUGAAAGCUGAAAGAAACAACACCAGGCUGCUGUUGGAGCACCUGGAGUGUCUGGUGUCUCGUCAUGAGCGCAGUCUGAGGAUGACAGUGGUGAAGAGACAGGCGCCUCCACCAUCUGGAGUUUCCAGCGAAGUGGAGGUCCUCAAAGCUCUGAAGUCAUUGUUUGAACACCACAAGGCUCUGGAUGAAAAGGUGCGUGAGAGGCUUCGGGUGUCGCUGGAGAGGGUGGCCACCCUUGAGGGGCAGUUAGCAACUACCACGCAAGAGUUGAGCAUGGUGCGGCAGAGGAAGGACGGUGACUCCGUGGAGCGAACAGAUGGAUCCAAGCCUACAUGGAAGAGACUGCCCAACGGCUCUAUAGAUGCACACGACGACGGCAGCCGGGCGUCUGAGCUUCAGGACCUGCUCGAUCGGACCAAUAAGGAGCUGACUGAGACCCGUAAACUGUCUACCACCCUCAAUGGUCGCAUCGUCGACCUGGAGGCGGAGCUGUCGAACACGCGUCGAGAACUGAGCCGCAGUGAGGAGCUGUCAAUCAAACAGCAGAGGGAGCAGAGGGAGAGAGAAGAUAUGGAGGAGAGGAUAACAACAUUAGAGAAACGUUACCUGGCUGCUCAGAGGGAGACCACGCACAUUCAUGACCUCAAUGACAAGCUGGAGAACGAACUGGCCACCAAGGACUCACUGCACCGACAGAGUGAAGAAAAGGUGCGGCAGCUGCAGGAGAUGCUGGAGAUGGCAGAGCAGAGGUUGGCUCAGACCAUGAGGAAGGCUGAGACACUGCCAGAGGUGGAAGCUGAACUGGCACAGAGAGUUGCCGCACUCUCCAAGGCCGAGGAGCGGCAUGGCAACGUGGAGGAACGCCUCAGACAGCUGGAAUCACAACUGGAGGAAAAGAAUCAAGAAUUAGGAAGGGCUCGUCAGAGGGAGAAAAUGAAUGAGGAGCACAACAAGCGUUUAUCUGACACUGUGGAUCGUUUGCUCACUGAGUCCAAUGAACGACUGCAGCUCCACUUGAAGGAACGCAUGGCUGCACUGGAGGACAAGAACUCCCUCAUUCAGGACCUUGAGAACUGCCAGAAACAGCUUGAAGAAUUCCACCACACCAGGGAACGGCUGAUUGGAGAGAUUGAUAAGCUGAGGAACGAGAUCGACCAUUUAAAGCGUCGCAGUGGGGCAUUUGGAGAUGGAGCUCACCCCCGGUCUCACUUGGGAAGCUCAAGCGACCUCCGCUUCUCUGUAGUGGAGGGGCAAGAUGGCCACUACAGCACAACUGUGAUCAGACGGGCACAGAAGGGCCGACUGUCCGCGCUACGAGAUGACCCGAACAAGGACUACCCAUCCUUGCGUGGCAGCGUCAGCCACCUACUCGGCAGCGACCUGGAGGCAGAGUCAGACAUGGAUGAUGAUGUCAGCUCGACCUUGCUGUCUCCCAGCGGCCAAUCAGAUGCUCAAACUCUCGCUCUUAUGCUGCAAGAGCAACUUGAUGCCAUCAAUGAGGAGAUAAGGAUGAUCCAGGUGGAGAGAGAGUCGACAGACCUGCGCUCUGAUGAGCUGGAGUCUCGGGUGAACAGCAGCAGCAUGGACGGCCUCAAUGUGACCCUUCGACCCCGGGCUCUGCCCACAUCUGCUACUUCCCAGUCCCUUGCAUCAUCCUGCUCCCCGCCCAACAGCGGCCACUCAACACCUAAACAUCAUGGACGCAACCCCAGCCACCACCUCGGCAUCAUGACUCUGCCAAGUGACCUGAGGAAACACAGAAGGAAAGUGGCCUCUCCGGUGGAAGUGGACAAAGCCACUAUCAAGUGUGAGACAUCGCCUCCCUCCUCCCCCCGCAGCUUACGGCUAGAAACCAAUUUUGCUCAGUUCACAGGGAGUCUGGAGGAUGGACGAAGCAAGCAGAAGAAAGGAAUCAAGUCUUCUAUUGGCCGAUUGUUUGGGAAGAAGGAGAAGGGUCGCAUGGACCAGACUGUCGGCAGGGAUGGACAGUCUCUACCAGCUUUAACAGACUUUGAGAUGGGUAUCGGCGACACUAUGACUCUGGGAAAACUUGGCACGCAAGCUGAGAGGGACCGCAGGAUGAAGAAAAAACAUGAGCUUCUGGAAGAUGCAAGGAAAAAAGGUCUUCCUUUUGCACAGUGGGACGGUCCUACUGUUGUCUCGUGGCUUGAGCUGUGGGUGGGCAUGCCAGCCUGGUAUGUGGCAGCCUGUCGGGCCAACGUGAAGAGCGGAGCCAUCAUGUCAGCACUGUCUGACACAGAAAUCCAGAGGGAGAUCGGCAUCAGCAACCCUCUGCACCGGCUCAAACUCCGUUUGGCCAUCCAGGAAAUGGUCUCCCUCACCAGCCCGUCCGCACCUCUCACAUCCAGAACGUCCUCCGGAAAUGUGUGGGUGACUCAUGAAGAGAUGGAGAACCUGGCUUCCUCCUCUAAAGCGGAGAAUGAGGAGGGCAGCUGGGCUCAGACCUUGGCAUAUGGAGACAUGAAUCAUGAGUGGAUCGGGAAUGAAUGGCUGCCCAGCCUUGGUCUGCCUCAGUAUCGCUCCUACUUCAUGGAGUGUCUCGUGGAUGCCCGGAUGCUGGACCACCUGACCAAGAAGGACCUGCGGACCCACCUGAAGAUGGUGGACAGUUUCCACAGGGCUAGUCUGCAGUAUGGCAUUAUGUGCUUGAAGAGACUCAAUUAUGACAGGAAAGACCUUGACCGCCGGAGAGAGGAUAGUCAACAUGAUAUGAAAGAUGUCUUGGUGUGGACCAAUGAGCAGGUGAUCCACUGGGUCCAGUCCAUUGGUCUAAGGGAGUACAGCGGCAACCUUUUAGAGAGCGGCGUUCAUGGAGCGCUCAUCGCUCUGGAUGAGACUUUCGACUACAGCAGCCUAGCGCUCAUCCUGCAGAUCCCUAUGCAGAACACACAGGCACGGCAGGUUCUGGAGCGGGAGUUCAACAAUCUGUUAGCGUUGGGGACAGACCGCCGACUAGAAGAGAGUGGAGAUGACAAGACAUUUCGGCGCUCUCCAUCAUGGCGCAAGAGGUUUCGGGCUCGUGAGGGAGGGGCAGGUUUAGGGAUGAUGGCAGGCUCUAUGGAAACGCUACCUGCUGGCUUCCGUAUGCCCUCUAUGUCCAUGCCACACUCGGUUAAUUUGGCGUCCAAAAAACAUCUCCAGCCUGAAGCUCCUCCCCCAGCACCCACGAGACUCGACCCCUCAACCGUGAGGACCUAUUCAUGCUAACUACACUCUACUUACUAACAGGAGUGCUAAUUCUGACAGAAAAAUAUUCUCUCAACAACUGACCAGUUUACUUUGCAUCAUUAUGCAAUGCUCAACCACAGCAGUCUGUGGUCACGACGACGUGCAUUCUCAUUACCUAUAUGGACAUGUGCUUGCGGCCUUUUGAGAGUGAUAUGCCAAAUCUGGAGCUGGAGACCUGCGUGCCUCAGGGGAAGCUCUUCACUCCUCUGUUGCCCAGUCUCCCCUCCCACCUUUGAUCUCUCACCUCUCCUUCAGACAUGUGCAAUACAGAGGCCAACUCUGACUUUUGAACUCUGAGAGUGCUCAUUGGCUGCGCUCGCUGCUGUAAAGGAGGCUAAUCCUGGUCUCACCGAGUUUACCCCAGAACUCCCAGUAGCCUUGUUCUUGUGGUGUUGUGCUUCUGCUCCCCUGGUCUCAGCUGUGGGUUCUUGUCCUGGUUCUAAUAGUCUCAACAUGGCGAAGUCAAAACAAGUCUCCCUGUGUUAAAAGUUGAAUUGUAUGAAAAAGAUGGUGACUAGAUGGUGUCCAGUCACUGAUUUGGACUUGAGUGUGAUGAGUAUUUGUAUAAAUGGCAGAUCAUCCUACACAUUACCCUUCUACCGGUUAUGCAAGGUAUUACUCAUUUAUCAACUCUGUACAUAAAAUGGAUGACUUAUGUUUUUUAUAGAAAUAUUAUAUGUAAUAUAUACAAAAUAAAUAUAUGUGUAUAUAUACAUAUAUAUAUGUAUGUUUAUAUAUAUAUAUAUAUAUAUAUAUAUAUAUAUAUAUAUAUAUAUAUAUAUAUAUAUAUAUAUAUAUAUAUAUAAAUGAAAUAUCUAUGGAAAAAGUUAUAAUAUUGCUGUAUGACACCCAAUGCCCUGUAUUCAAUAGUGACUGUUCUCUUUCUUUCUCUCUCUCUCUCUCUCUCUGUGUCGGACCUUUGCGUGUCUAUUACCGUAUGCUGAAAGUGUUUGAUUCAUUGGUGGGAGGGACUCACUAAAGGAGGAGUGCAUUUCUACAAGGACUCUUCACAGGUUCAUGGGUCCAAUUCUCUCUUUGCUUCCUCACUUGUUCUUUCCUAUUCUCCCCCUUCUCCUUUUUAGACACAAUGUAGCUGUUACUUCUCCUUUCUCCACCUUUCUCGCCUUCUGUCUGAAACUAUGUAGCCUAGAAUAGAAAGAAUCAUUCAAUAUGAAGCGUGAGUGCGUGUAUGUGUUGGACUGAGGCAACGGGCCUCUCUUCUGGUGACUUGUCGAGGGGUUUGUGCGUGAACGGUCGACGGCAGCCAUGUGACCAUAACUUUUCUCUCUGGAUGGUAUUGUGAACACUGUAGCUCCUCUCUGUUGUUUCCAAACAUCUCUCAAGUCAAACUGUAAACUGCUGCUCAACAUCAGUGAAUGAUAGCCACAUGAUACUGCUCUGAGUGACAGACUCGUCUGUUCUUGUUCUGUCAUCUCCCAUUUAGUUGCCAUGGAGACGUGCCAGUGAGCAGUCCUUACUCUUGGCCGACCAACUCCUCAUCUGUUGAGAAAGCAGCGUAUGAGCUAGUGAAUUGCUGGAUGGCUGUACAAUCUUUUUAUUAUUAUCAUUACUUUUUUAUUUUAUUUUACAGUUUUUCCAAGGUGUCAAAAGGUGUAAUGUGCUAUGUGGCAGCUAUGAGUACUGUGUCUUUAUUCCAGGUGUUAAACAAUGCUGACAAAUCAAGAUUUUAUUAUUUGGCUAUCCAAAAAAAAAGUGUACUGUAUUUAUGACACUC